UACGUAGGGUGCGAGCGUUGUCCGGAAUUAUUGGGCGUAAAGGGCUCGUAGGCGGUUUGUCGCGUCGGGAGUGAAAUCCACUGGCUUAACUGGUGGCUUGCUUUCGAUACGGGCAGACUGGAGGUAUGCAGGGGAGAACGGAAUUCCUGGUGUAGCGGUGAAAUGCGCAGAUAUCAGGAGGAACACCGGUGGCGAAGGCGGGACUCUGGGCCGAUACUGACGCUGAGGAGCGAAAGCGUGGGGAGCGAACAGG
rnacentral:rRNA from 1 species